UUGAACGCUGGCGGCGUGCUUUACACAUGCAAGCCGAGCGGCAGCGCGGGGGCAACCCUGGCGGCGAGCGGCGAACGGGUGAGUAAUGUAUCGGAACGUACCCUGUCGUGGGGGAUAACACAGCGAAAGCUGUGCUAAUACCGCAUACGACCUGAGGGUGAAAGCGGGGGAUCGCAAGACCUCGCGCGAUAGGAGCGGCCGAUCUCGGAUUAGCUUGUUGGUGAGGUAAAGGCUCACCAAGGCGACGAUCCGUAGCUGGUCUGAGAGGACGACCAGCCACACUGGAACUGAGACACGGUCCAGACUCCUACGGGAGGCAGCAGUGGGGAAUUUUGGACAAUGGGGGCAACCCUGAUCCAGCCAUUCCGCGUGAGUGAAGAAGGCCUUCGGGUUGUAAAGCUCUUUCAGCAGGAACGAAACGGUGGCUACUAAUACUAGCUACUAAUGACGGUACCUGAAGAAGAAGCACCGGCUAACUACGU
rnacentral:rRNA from 1 species